CAGCUUACAUUUAUUCCUGUUGUGAUAACUUUCCAAACCUUUAAACGAAGUACGAAGUGAAUCUAGCGAACACUGAAACAAUAGAAUAAACGUUCUUGUCUUACGUUCAAUCGGCUAAGUAAAUACGCAGUAUAGGCUAUUGGCGACAUCUAGGCAUCGUUGUUUGCUGUCAUCGGUAAAUUCGGCAGCUAAUUAUUCUUGCUAGUUAAUUAAAUAGAGCAUUUUAACAUUUAACAGUAACUGCUUAGAAAUAAUCGAAACCAUGAUAGAAUUAAAUUUUGUAUCAUCUUGUUUAUUUUUAUUUUUGAAACGAACGUAUUUGUGUCUUAAACACAUAACUAUCAUAUGGAAUUAAACUUCUUGUUAAAGCAGAUGGCUUUUAUGAUACAUAUAAAAUAGAUUUCGAAAAAUAUAUUUCGAAG